UAGGCAGUUUGACUGGGGCGGUCUCCUCCCAAAGCGUAACGGAGGAGUUCGAAGGUACGCUAGUUACGGUCGGACAUCGUGACGAUAGUGCAAUGGCAUAAGCGUGCUUAACUGCGAGACUGACAAGUCGAGCAGAUGCGAAAGCAGGACAUAGUGAUCCGGUGGUUCUGUAUGGAAGGGCCAUCGCUCAACGGAUAAAAGGUACUCUGGGGAUAACAGGCUGAUACCGCCCAAGAGUUCAUAUCGACGGCGGUGUUUGGCACCUCGAUGUCGGCUCAUCUCAUCCUGGGGCUGUAGCCGGUCCCAAGGGUAUGGCUGUUCGCCAUUUAAAGAGGUACGUGAGCUGGGUUUAAAACGUCGUGAGACA
rnacentral:rRNA from 1 species